rnacentral:rRNA from 1 species
ACAACAUUUGGAAACAGAUGCUAAUACCGCAUAACAGCGUUGUUCGCAUGAACAACGCUUAAAAGAUGGCUUCUCGCUAUCACUUCUGGAUGGACCUGCGGUGCAUUAGCUUGUUGGUGGGGUAACGGCCUACCAAGGCGAUGAUGCAUAGCCGAGCUGAGAGACUGAUCGGCCACAAUGGGACUGAGACACGGCCCAUACUCCUACGGGAGGCAGCAGUAGGGAAUCUUCCACAAUGGGCGCAAGCCUGAUGGAGCAACACCGCGUGAGUGAAGAAGGGUUUCGGCUCGUAAAGCUCUGUUGUUAAGGAAGAACACGUAUGAGAGUAACUGUUCAUACGUUGACGGUAUUUAACCAGAAAGUCACGGCUAACUACGUGCCAGCAGCCGCGGUAAUACGUAGGUGGCAAGCGUUAUCCGGAUUUAUUGGGCGUAAAGAGAGUGCAGGCGGUUUUCUAAGUCUGAUGUGAAAGCCUUCGGCUUAACCGGAGAAGUGCAUCGGAAACUGGAUAACUUGAGUGCAGAAGAGGGUAGUGGAACUCCAUGUGUAGCGGUGGAAUGCGUAGAUAUAUGGAAGAACACCAGUGGCGAAGGCGGCUACCUGGUC